rfam:Gossypium raimondii Chr13_contig_371, whole genome shotgun sequence.
UUUGCUAUGAUGAGGUAAAAACACUUAAGUGUUGAUGGGCAGUGGAUUUGGAUCUUUCAAUUUUUGAAGAUCUGCCGUGAGCCCUCUUUUUAAACGACUUCUCCUUCCACUGAGCUCU